rnacentral:misc_RNA from 1 species
UGAAAUUAAAAAAAAAAAAAAAAACCAUAUUCACACUUAUAGCUGGCUGAUAUGGACGGAAUAAAUUAUUAUUAAAAAAAAAAGAAAAAUUUUUGUUUUCAUUGCCUCUAUCAAUUUCAAAUAUUCCAGUAACUUGGGGACAAGGAGUUGCUUGAAAGGUAUCAAUAAAUAUGGGGUUAUUUGCUGAAAAUCAAAACUGUCGAUGGAUAAUUUGUCUCUUUAGCAGACCUGACCCAAUAUAUGAUGUGAAGAUGGAUGGUGAAAGGAAGACUAAUAUCGGCGGGUGUUGUUUGUCAAUUUGGCUCUCUAUCAAAUACUCUAAAAAUAAAUUAAAUCCUAUGGGCAUGGUAGGCCCCAUGAUUAUCACAAUAAUUCUCUAGUGGGCCAGAAAAGUUAAUGAUAAUAGCAUGAUGAUGGUGAUAGCUAUCUGUCUGAUUGUCACAAUAAUUCUUCUAUGUUCAGCACGUCCUCCAUUUUUUGGAGGCGGCUCUUGAGAUACCUUCAUGAGGAGGUGGAGUUAGUGUAGGAUUAUGUUCCCUUCCAUCACCUUAACAUAUUCUAGGAUGGUUUAGAGUUCUUGUUAGGGCGGAUGAUAACAGGUCAAAUAUUUUUAAAUAUUUAAUUUAAUUAAAUUUUAAUAUGAGUUUGAAAUAGGUUUAGAUUUAAAAAGUAAUAUUUAUGAUGAAUUCAAAUUCAAG